GCUUCUAUUCCAGUCUACUACAUGUCCAACAUUCUUUUUCCUAAGAAAUUCCUUGCUAAACUUACUUCUAUCAUUACGAACUUAUGGUGGACUGGAGUAAGAGAAGAGGCGAAAUCAAAAUCUUUAUGUCUUAGGGCUUGGAAAGACAUUUGCACUCCCAAAAAUGAAGGUGGGCUUGGUAUUAGAAACAUGCAAGCCACUAAUAGGAGUCUUCUUCUUUCAGUAGCCUGGAGAAUAGUUGAGGCUCCACAUAGUCACCUUGCUAAAGUUCUCAAGUCAAAAUACUUCCAUGACACCUCCUUCUGGAGAGCUAAAGCAGACAUUCCCAAAUCUGCUUUCUGGACAACUAUUCUCAAAGUCAAACCCAUGCUGACUGCCAAUGCUUUCUACCAAAUUACUAAUGGCAAUAUUUCAGUUUGGAGAACCCCUUGGUGUUCUUCUUGGGAAACUAUCUAUGAUCAUCUUAUCAUCCAACAAAGGGGCUUUAGAUACCCUGCCAUUGUUAAAGAUCUUUGGCUCCACAACCAGAAGAUCUGGAACAACAAUUUAAUUGACUCCCUGUUUGAGAAUGACACGACUGCUAUUAUUAAGCAAACCCCAAUUAUUCAGUCCAUGUGA
rnacentral:rRNA from 1 species